CCUCGCAUCUCCCACUGGCGGGCACCUGGGCAGGUGGGCUUUCUCCGUGCUGGGCCUGGGCCCCCGGGGUCCCGCGGAGGCUGAAGGCAGAGCGCACGCAGGUGUAGCUGAGGCUGCAGACACAUCGCACUGUCCACACCGGCUCCGGGUCCAACCCAUCCUGAGAUCACGCCCGCCGCUAUCCUCACAGAGCAGACCGCAGCGUUCAAGGUCAAGUCCAAGCACACGCUGAUUUCACUUUUCCUCCCGCCCCAAACACACCAGCUUCGCAAGCUCCUUUCACAGCUCACCUAGGGCUCCCGUGGCCGACCGGAAGGCAGGGCCCGGCCCAGCGCCAGGAGUGGGGGCGGGCUCUGCCGCUGUGUGCCAUGGCCCGGUCACAAGGCGACAUUGCUGUCGGAAGUGAAGAAAUGAAAUCAGAAUUUCCACGUGCCGCGGGAGGUAUCGGGAAACAAGCACCAGGACGAGAACUAGGACGAGACGUGGAGAGGAGAAAUACACGAGCCCUUUAGCGUGGUGCGGGCGCUGUCCUACCUGACGUAUUUUCAGAACGGCUCAGCGGACCUGGCAAGCAGCAUAUGGGAACCUUUGCAAUUUCGCUGUAGAUUUAAAAUUAUCCCAUAAUAAAAGGGUUACUUCCUUUA